GGAGAGAUGUCCGAGUUGGCCGAAGGAGCACGAUUGGAAAUCGUGUGUACCCCCAUAAGGGGUACCGAGGGUUCGAAUCCCUCUCUCUCCGCCA
rnacentral:tRNA from 1 species